UCAGUGGAAACAGAUGAAUGUCCACCUCGCUUUCCUUUGGAGAGGAUCUUGAGGCUGGACCCUCUGCUCACAGAGGUUUUAAAUUUGGCUCCAAGGAAAGCAUAGAGGAUGGGGUUCAGACAACAGUGGAAGAAAGCUAGGGCCUCGGUGAUGGAAAUCCACUUGUGCACAGUGUUCUCAAACUCACACCCUUGCUUGAUGAUUUCCAGGAGGAUGAAGGAGUCGAUGCUGAUCCCAAUGUAGUAAGGCAGCCAACAGGCGAAGAAAGCCAGGAUGAGGACACUGCUGUAGAGGUUGACUGUGUAGAUGACAUGGACUGCCUUGCAUAGGAAGUUCCCAAAG
rnacentral:lncRNA from 1 species